AUUUUUGUUUGCAUGCUUGUAUGGUGGAGUUGGUUUUUGUGUUUUGUGUUGUUUCACCCCCAUGAAGACUGAGUCCCAGAUUGGACACACCUGGGUGUCCAAUCAGUAAGCUGAUGGCCCCACCCAUAAAGCUGCACUGGCAGCAGGAGAAAGGAGGAAGAGCAGCUGGUAGCCGUUGAAGGACACAGCACUGGAGCAAACUGUGUGGCUGGAGCUGCAGUCAGUGUAGGAGUCUUCUCCAGGACAGGAGUGCCACAGCGCGACGUACACUCAUAGGCAGGGUGAGGAGCCCUGCCGGUGUGUAGAUGUUGGGAGGAACACCCCACUGCGCCUGCAAAGGGUGGACAAAGACAAGGCUGUGGCUGACUGCAGGACCUGUCUCACUGGUGUUUCAUGGACUAUUUCUUUUAAUUAUUUUAACAAUGUUUUUAUGAGGUCCCUCUUUCAAGUUUUUACUGUUUUUUUACUACCUUUUUAAACAUUUGGUCUUAGUUAUUUAGGUUUUAACCGUUCGGGCUUUGUCGUGUUGUGGCUGCAUGUUUUUAUUGGAUUAAAUUAUUGCAGUUUAAAAAA